rnacentral:rRNA from 1 species
AUUGAACGCUGGCGGCGUGCUUAACACAUGCAAGUCGAUCGGUAACGCGGGGGCAACCCUGGCGACGAGCGGCGGACGGGUGAGGAACGCUUGGGAAUCUGCCCUUCAGCGGGGGACAACACGGGGAAACUCGUGCCCAUACCGCAUACGCUCCACGGAGGAAAGCCGGGGACCGCAAGGCCUGGCACUGAAGGAUGAGCCCAAGUCGGAUUAGCUAGUUGGCGGGUAACGGCCCACCAAGGCGACGAUCCGUAGCUGGUCUGAGAGGACGAUCAGCCACACUGGGACUGAGACACGGCCCAGACUCCUACGGGAGGCAGCAGUGGGGAAUAUUGGACAAUGGGGGAAACCCUGAUCCAGCGACGCCGCGUGGGUGAAGAAGGCCUGCGGGUUGUAAAGCCCUUUCGGUAGGGACGAAAGCUCUCGACCUAACACGUCGGGAGGUUGACUUAACCUACAAAAGAAGCACCGGCUAACUCUGUGCCAGCAGCCGCCGCAGUA